rnacentral:lncRNA from 1 species
GUAGGUAGGAUCACACGCCAGGUUUUACAAACGAGGAGGAACUGGAGGCUUACAGUGAUGUGGGCCCAUAUGGAAGCAGAUGAUAUGUUAAUGAAGUUGAGCCCAGGGAGCCUGAAUUGGAGCCUUGAUUUCAACUAUUAUGCCACAUUGCACCCACUUUAACAGAUACCUUGGGAGGAAGAAAGAGAGGUAAGGAGGGAAGGAGGAAGGGAGAAAGAGGAGGCAUAAAGAGGUAAUGAAACCUAGGAAAUUCCAUGUCUUGGCUUCUCCCACACUAAGCGUUGGACAGACCUCAUCUUGAAUCCUUAUAUAAAGUCUCUGCGCACAGGAAGUUUCCCUGGGAGACAUGGUAGAGGUUUGCUAUAAGUCAUUUGCCGUCAAGAUUAAAGACUCUAAAGUCAGACAAACUCAAGUUCCAAACUUGCAUCUGCCAUUUAAAAGCUAGCAACCUGGGGCUGGCUAUGCACACUGCCUGAGACUCGGUUUUCCUAUGUGCAACAGGGUUGCUAACCCUACUCCCAAGGAUCCUAUAAGCAUCAAAUGGGAUCAGUGUCUUCUGUGCCUGGGUCUUACCAUGCUCUCAGAGUAGGUCACCAUGAUCGUUGCCGUUCUCCAUGCAACUGGUAAGUCUCAGAACCAAGCUCCAAUCCAGGUCCACUUCAAGAGAGUACAGGGGUCAGUUAAAUCAGACUUGAACAUCGGAGCGUGCAGCAGGAUGGCUCUCCAAAGAUGACCACAUCUAAGUCCCAAGAACCUGUGAAUCUGCUAUCUGUGAGACAAGGAGGAAGUAAGAUUGGAGACAGAAUUAAGAUUAUCAUCAGACAACCUUAAAAAGCUUAGCUUGGAUUAUCUCUAGUGUCCUUAAAUUGGAGGAGGAAGCCAGAGAGAAGUUGAGGGGAGCCAUGGCCGAAGAAGAAAGGCACAAGAGAUCCCAGGGUUUGAAAUGAAGGAAGGAGCCGAGAGCCAAGGAACGCGGCUGGCCUCUGCAGCGGGAGAGGUGAGGUGACAGCCUUUCCCCUAGCUCCCUCACAAGGAGGGCAGGCCUGCCUUGGUUUUGAGCCCAGUGAAACUCACGUUGGACUUGGGAGCACUGAAACUGUGAGAUAGUGAACUUGCAUUCUUUUAAGCCGUCAAUUAAUGGAGGCUAUUUGUUACAGCAGCCAUAGAAACUCAUACAGUGGGGCAAGAUUGAGAGGUAAUCUCAGAUUUAAAAAGAGGUGGAAGUCCUGACAACUUGCCUCCGGAGGCAGCUUUGCUUCACUCAACUUCUAAAGAUAAAGCCAGAGGCUUCACUGCUGCCAUGCUGGGGACCCCUGAGUAAAUUUGGGGGUCCUCUCAAGCCUCGAGAGGAAGCGGGCUACUGACAAGUCCCAGAAAAGCCUGAGUGGCCAGUUCCAACUGAGUCAGCAGUGCUGUCCUUGUCUGAGGCCAGGAAAUGGCCUUCCAAACAUGCAGUCCCAGGGCCUAUGGAGUGACUGCUGUUUUUUCCUUCCUAGGAAACAGGAAAUGCAAAUUGUCACCAUUUCAUUCACAACUGGCAGACAUCAGGGCACUGUGGUUUCUCCUCUUCCUUUGCAAGUCUGAGGGCCCUCAGCAAGGGCAGCAGGAGGGGCUGACGCUUGCAGACUGUCUGUGACAAAGGGACAUUUCUCACCUGUUAAGGACAGCUGUCUUUAUCUCUUUAUCUAGAUGAAAGUAUAAUUUACAAACAGAUUCUAGUGUCUCUCAUGCUGAGUUUUGACAACUAUAUGCACCCCUGUCACUGAUGUCCACCUAGAGCAAGUUAUGGGUAUGCUCAGUAGCCCAGAGAGUUCCCUGGGCCCUUUCGGACGUAGGUGAUGCAAAUCACAAAUGCUGCCCCCCCCCCCAAUUAAUGCUGUGCUUUCUGUCACCAUCUGCCCGACGUCUUUUCCAUGGCUUCAUAAGAGUGGAACCCGCAGCCUGGGCACCUUCAUGUUUGUCUUUCACUGCACAAUUUGGAGGCCCACCUGUACACGGGUGAUCCUUUCUAGCCAUUACCAACUAGUAUUCCACGGAUGGGAGGGUGCUUCUCAUUUUUAAGCAUCUGUUUUACUAAUAGUGCCAUCGGGGUGGUUUCUGUUUGUGGCUUUUAUGAAGAAAGCUGCUGAGCACAUUCAGUCUAAAUCUGUGUUGGAGACAAGUUUUCGUUUCUCUUGGGUGAUGCCUAGGAGUAAAAUUUAUAAGAAAAUGCCAAACAGUUCUUCCUCAACAGUGAAUACCCCUGUUCCUCGUUUCUCUUCAUUCUCAUCAACAUUUGUUGGUUUUGUUUUUCUGGGUUUUGGUUUUGGUUUUGGUUUUUUAUACUUUUGGCUAUUCUAAUGAAUGAGAAAUUGUAUCUUCUUAUGAUUUUCAAUUGCACUUCUGAAUCUUUU